AGAACGUAGGUCAUUAAUCGGAUUCAAUACAUAUUAAAUAUUUGAAAUAUUAUAGGUAUUAUGCUGUAAAUAAUUAUCACGAUUACAGCGUGAUAGUGAUGAUACGGUAUACCUGAUAGGUAUCUAUUAUCUAUGUAUUUGCUAAAUAAAUUUUUUGUUUCACUUAUAGAGUAUACAGAGGCGUCAUAUCAAAUUAUGAAGAGUACUAUAAAUAAUAUGAAGUAAAACAUGUCGGACUUUGUUUACAAUAACUGACUGUGUAGAUGAAAAACAGCGCUAAUAUCAGUAGUAUUAUUUUGUUUAUAAUUAAUAGGUACUUAGUUAAGUAUUACUUAUUAUUAACGAAUAAACUUUAUUUUAUUUACUGUAGUUGAAAGAAGGUGACUGUUGUUCCUAAGUUCUAGACAUAAAUAAUCUAUUCCAUUCGUCAAUGUAUAGCUUUAAAAUAAAUAAUUAUUUGAACAUAUUUGAAAUCCGUUAAAACAUAUAUUUUAAUAUAAAAAUGUU